rnacentral:lncRNA from 10 species
UACAAUUCAAGGUGAGAUUUGGGUUGGGACACAGCCAAAGCAUAUCAGUGUCAUUCAGUUAUUGAGGGCCUGUAUAGAACAAAAAUCUGGAAGAGGGCAGCAUUCUCUUUUUCUUUUUUUUUUCUUACCUCACUGCCUGAGCUGGGACAUCUCAUCUUGUCUUGUCCUGCUCUCAGACUGGGAUUUAGAUAUGCACCAUGGCCUCCUCUGAUUGUCAGGCCUUCUGAUUUGGACUGAAUUACACCACCAGCU